GGGAAUGUAGCUCAGUGGUAGAGCGUGUGGGUGUGGCCCUGGGUUCAAUCCCCAGCACCA
rnacentral:tRNA from 1 species